rnacentral:rRNA from 1 species
GAUGAACGCUGGCGGCGUGCCUAAUACAUGCAAGUCGAGCGAACAGACGAGGAGCUUGCUCCUCUGACGUUAGCGGCGGACGGGUGAGUAACCCGUGGUUAACCUACCUAUAAGACUGGGAUACCUUCGGGAAACCGGAGCUAAUACCGGAUAAUAUUUUGAACCGCAUGGUUCAAUAUUGAAAGACGUUUUUUCUGUCACUUAUAGAUGGUUCCGGGCCGCAUUAGCUAGUUGUUAAGGUAACGGCUUCCCAAGGCGACGAUGCGUAGACGACCUGAGAGGGUGAUCGGCCACACUGGAACUGAGACACGGUCCAGACUCCUACGGGAGGCAGCAGUAGGGAAUAUUCCGCAAUGGGCGAAAGCCUGACGGAGCAACGCCGCGUAAGUGAUGAAGGUCUUCGGAUCGUAAAACUCUGUUAUUAGGGAAGAACAAAUGUGUAAGUAACUAUGCACGUCUUGACGGUACCUAAUCAGAAAGCCACGGCUAACUACGUG